rnacentral:rRNA from 1 species
UACGUAGGGUGCAAGCGUUGUCCGGAAUUAUUGGGCGUAAAGAGCGUGUAGGCGGCCAGGUAGGUCUGGUGUGAAAACUCGAGGCUUAACCUCGAGAUGUCAUCGGAAACCAUCUGGCUAGAGUCCGGAAGAGGAGAGUGGAAUUCCUGGUGUAGCGGUGAAAUGCGCAGAUAUCAGGAAGAACACCAAUGGCGAAAGCAGCUCUCUGGGACGGUACUGACGCUGAGACGCGAAAGCGUGGGGAGCGAACAGG